UCCAGACUCCUACGGGAGGCAGCAGUGGGGGAUAUUGCACAAUGGGGGAAACCCUGAUGCAGCGACGCCGCGUGAGUGAAGAAGUAUUUCGGUAUGUAAAGCUCUCUCAGCAGGGAAGAAAAAAGACGGUACCUGACUAAGAAGCCCCGGCUAACUACGUGCCAGCAGCCGCGGUAAUACGUAGGGGGCAAGCGUUAUCCGGAUUUACUGGGUGUAAAGGGAGCGUAGACGGCAAUACAAGUCGGAAGUGAAAUACCCGGGCUCAACCUGGGAACUGCUUUGGAAACUGUAUGGCUGGAGUGCUGGAGAGGUAAGCGGAAUUCCUAGUGUAGCGGUGAAAUGCGUAGAUAUUAGGAGGAACACCAGUGGCGAAGGCGGCUUACUGGACAGUAACUGACGUUGAGGCUCGAAAGCGUGGGGAGCAAACAGGAUUAGAUACCCUCGUAUG
rnacentral:rRNA from 1 species